AUACGCAAACCUUUCGUAAACCGCGGCACCACAAAACCACUUGAUCAAAUUCACACUACAUCUCACAACCAUUUCAGCCGACUCUUUCUCUGCACAAGCCAAAUCCGCAAUCCAUUGCACUCCAAAUACCACGAUACCAACCACUCUACUCUUUCAUUUUUGAUUCACAACAAAACCUCAUUUCUUCCCUGCCUUGUCCGAGAGCAUCCGAGAGAGUGAGAGAGCUGCUGGAAAUUUUUGGUCCUGCCGUGAGUAGAGCAAAGCCAGGAAGGAGAAUCUGCAGGAAGCUACACCAUCUCACCUUCAUCCGCAACCCAAUUCCAGCCGCAACUCAAACCAGGACCACGUCUGAACUUGGCCGAGAGUGAGGGAAGACAUUUCUGGAAAAUUCGUGUGAGGGUUUAGCUAUUAGCUGAGGAUACUGCGAGGACGCGGAAUUCGAUUCCCAACUUGAUAUCUAAACUUCACUCUGGGUUAUUCUUCGAAAGGUUCGGGUUAGAUUGCUCGCAUGAGUCUUGGCGAGAGUUGGGCAGACGGCCCGCCAACCCUUUGGUUCGCCUCAGGGGGAAGUGGGGUCGCCACAGUCCGGUUCUGAAAACACUGCAAUUUUCAACUCUCACAGUUUUGCCCUGCUGCGUCCGGCGCACCUGCCCUUCCAACGGUUUGAAUGGGUCGCGUCAUUUCGUCUUUGAUCUCAGCCGUCUCUUUCAAAAAUUAUAUGUGUUUUUUUUUUCAAAAAAAAUAUUUUUCAAUUAAACAAUUUUUUUAAGUGUUUUUUUUCAGACUUUUAAAGUUAGUUAAUUAAAACCUUCAAAUCUUACGAGGGAGGGAGAAAAGGAAUAGGAAAGGCUUGACGGUCAGAACCUAGGAAGGAAAAGUUUUUGUUCUUAGCUCCGCAUAGUUGAUGCUAUGUUACUAAAACAUGAAAGAAUAUGAAUUGAUAGUUUUGGUAGAAAAAUUUUAAAAUAUUUUUUUAAUACAUUUUUCAAACGUCAUUGUAUUUCACAUAUAUUACAUUAUUACAUUAUAAUUUUCUACAAAAAAAAAUAAACUUAAAAAGAUGGCAAUCCAAAUGAGACUGAAAUCAAUUUUUAUGUGUAUGACUUCUUAAAACGAAAUUCCUAAAGUAUAUAUAUAUAUAGGCUAAGAGUUUAUGUCUGAUAAAAGAGGGUGCAAUUCGACAAUCUUUCAGAUUUUUUUAUAGCCGUCCAAUUGAAAAUUUGAAACUGAGUUAUCUAUAUAAGAUAAACAUAAAAGAAAAGAUUUAAGCACUAUUUAAAUUGUAAACUGAACCAGAGUCAAUAGAUUAAGACCCGUUAAGAAUUUGGUGUGGUCUGCCUUUUGGUGGACAGUUUUACUGCCAUUAAUCCAUCACUUGUUUAUCCCUCUUUACAUUUCAGUUUCUGCGUGAAACUUGUAAUUAACCUUCUAAUACCAAAUCAAUAUGUGUGUAGACUGUACACAUUGAAUA